AUCAAACGGCUACACUAUAGUUUGUCUAAUUGUGUGUUUGGUAAAUACUUGGGUUCUUCUUUUGUAAAUUCUCAUAAACUUGACUAAAAUCGUUCAUGGAAACUUCAGAUUGAUAAUGAACCCCAACUAUUUGCUAACUGUGGGAUGAAAUAUCCAGGAAGGACUCGAGAAUCUUGAUGUCAAAUACCGCGUGCAUGGUCAUUCCUUUAUCCCGUGGUUGUGUAUCGCCUCAAAGAAAUGUUUUUAUGCCAGUUGCCGAAGUCUUUGCCAAAGGGGCCGUGAAUACAGACGGACUUCCGCGACGCCAAAGACGAGAAUCUAUUUAGAAAAAAAAGAUCGAAAAACAUACGAGUUUAAACCCAACUUGAUGAAAUAUGGUAAUGUGUUCAUUGUUGCAGUGUAGUGUAUUUAGAUUCGGUGGUGUGGGUGUAUUGAUAAACGAUCGUGUAGUUACCGACAGGGAACUGUCCACGUGUGUGCCUCGU